rnacentral:misc_RNA from 1 species
CCGCGAUUCCUCUCGAUUUGUAAUCCAAUACACAAAUCAAUUGCUUCCGUUAGGCUAGCGAUAUGCUGUGUAUUAUCAAUGAUUUCCACAAAAGGCGGUAAGAUGAUGUCUUGAGCAGUUACAUAUCCAGGACCCUCGACACAAAUAGAUGCGUUACAAGUUCCAUACAAAUUGCUUCUUAAUACAAUUUCUUUCAAAUUCAUUAAAAUUUCAUGUAUUGAUUCUUGAAUACCUGCUAUAGUAGAAAAUUCGUGUGGUAUUUUCUCAAAUUUUGCACGUGUGAUACAUGUUCCUUCUAUUUCUCCAAGCAAAGCUCUUCGCAUCGCAAUGCCUAUUGUGUCGGCUUUGCCUUUCCUAAGAGGAGACANUAAGAGGAGACAGAAUAAAGCGUCCAUAAUAAAGACGUUUAUUAUCGGUUCUUGAUUCAACACAUUUCCACUGCAGUGUCCGAGUGGAUAUUGUUACUUUCUCUCGAACCAUAAUAAUAUUGAAAUUGUUGAAUUAUUUAUUUCUCUUGAAAUCUCUUCAAUAUUUUUUUUUACACGCGCCUUUUUUUAGGGGGUCUGCAGCCAUUAUGUGGCAUAGGGGUUACAUCCCGGACGAAACUUAAUAGUAUACUACUUCUGCGAAUAGCUCUUAAUGCCGCAUCUCGUCCGAGACCAGGACCCUUUAUCAUGACUUCUGCUCGUUGCAUACCUUGAUCCACUACUGUCCGAAUAGCAUUUCCUGCUGCGGUUUGAGCAGCAAAUGGCGUUCCUCUUCUUGUGCCCCUGAAUCCACAAGUGCCAGCGGAGGACCAAGAAAUCACUCGACCCCGUACAUCUGUAACGGUCACAAUAGUAUUGUUAAAACUUGCUUGAACAUGAAUAACUCCUUUUGGUAUUUUACGUGAAUUCUUACGCGAACCAAUACGUCCGUUUCUUCGUGAACCAAUUUUUGGUAAAGGUUUUGCCAUAUUUUAUCAUCUCAUAAAUAUAAGUCAGAGUUUUAUGGAUAUAUCCAUUUCAUGUCAAAAUAAAUCUUUUUUUU